rnacentral:lncRNA from 1 species
CAUGUUCUAUAUGAGAAAAAAAUCAUGUAUGUAAAGCAAACACAAGUUAUGAACAAAAUUUGCCAUGAAAGAUGUAUGCUAUAAAUUAGCAUGGUCUUUUAAUUAUAGAUGUCAUGCUUUUUGUUAGGAAAAAUGCCAUGUAUGUGUUCAUGUAGAGAAAAAUGUCAUGACCCAAUAACUAUAUUUGCCAUGGGGAGGGGUCGCCCCGAACGAAUUGUUCGCGCUGGACAGGGGAACGACCGAACGAUUUUGUUCGGCCCAGGAGCUCUCUCAGCCCGAACACUUCUAGAAACUCAUCACUUAUCACGAAUGCAACAAAAAGCCUAACAAAGACGCCAGUGUGGGCCUGUUGCACGAGAGACAUAAGAAAAACAGGCCCAUUUAGAUACUGAAAUACGAAAAAAAAACCCAGAAAAACUUUCUAAGAAAAGUUACCAUGUUUUGGCACAUACUAAAGUUUGCCAUGGCAAGUUGGAAAGUUUGCCAUGUUUUUGAAGAUUUUAAAAUGCCAUGGUAUAUUAUUCAUAUUUUUGAACAUCUAGAAAAAUGUUGCCAUGUUUUCUAACAUCGUAAGUUGCCAUGGCAAAGUUUGCCAUGUUUUUCAACAACUAUAACUUUGCCAUGACAAGUUUACAUGUUUUUCAACAUGUUAAUUAAAGAAGUUUGCCAUGGCAUAAAAUGGAGUUAAAUUUGCCAUGUCAAAAAGGGAGUAAAAAUUUGCCGUGGCAAAAAUAGUUUAAUUUUUUGCCAUGGCAAAAAGUAGUAGUUUUUUCCAUGGAAAUAAAUUAAAAAUUGACAUGGCCACACAAGUAUAUUUAAAAUGCUACAUAGUAAAAUUUGGCAUGUUCUAUAAAUUUAAAUUUGCCAUAAUAUUUGAAUUAAGAUUGACAUGCUCUCUACAAUAAAUUUGCAAUGGCAACUUUAACUAAAAAUUGCCAUGGCGACUUAACCAAAAAAUUUCCUUGUGAAAAUAAACGUAUUUUUGACAUGACAAAAAUGGAGUUAAACUUGCCAUGCCAAAAAUGGAGUAAAAAUUUGCCAUGGCAAAAAUGGGUUGAUUUUUGCCAUGGCAAAAGGGGAGUAGUUUUGUCAUGGAAAUAAAUUGAAAAAUGCCAUGGCUAUACAAAUAUAUGUACUAUGCUACAUAGUUAAAAUUGCCUUGUUCUGAAAAAUGUAAAUUUGCCAUCAUAUUUAAAACAAAAACUUGCCAUGCUCUUUACAAUAAAUUUGCCAAGGUAUCUUAAACUAAAAGUUGCCAUGGCAACUUAAACUAAAAUUUGUCGUGUGAAUAAAAGUAUUUUUGAUAAACUUGUGAAUUUCUGAAAUUUGCCAUAUGAUUUUUCUAAUAAUUGCCACAACAUUUUAGUAAAAAAAUGCCAUGCUUUUGUAGCGUUUAUCUCUUACUUAUGUCGUGUAACAAACAAACUAACAAGUUCAGAAGUUUGCACGGAAAAAAAUGAUGCAUCUAACAAAAACACGGAGACGCACAUGCCACAAACACAACUUGUUUGGUCAGUUUUGUUUGCUGCUAAAAGAAGCAACAUAUUCUGAUUGCAAAUUAUGACAACAUGGCAACUAGUUUCAGCCAGAAAAUGUAGUAUCAAGGAGAGUGGGGAGUGCUGAUGCAUCACGGAAAACAUUGAGAGGGAAAAAAUGCUAGAGGGUGAGAAUCAGGGGUUACUGAUGAAUUGUCUCUGGCUGGCGCCCAUGACACUGCUAAAAAUCGGUGUCCUGCAGAGCGAGGUAGGCAAAAUCGAUGGCGAGCCCAGCCCUCUCCCUGGCUUGCACCACCCCGCAGCCCUGCCUAGCCAGCAAGGUCGCAACCAUUUCGAGCUCGAUGCGCUGCGACUUGAGCAAGCGGGAGGGGGAGGGGGCAUCCCGUCCUCGACGCGGCCGACAACGCGCUCGCCGCCGCCGCCUGCGUCGGCUCUCGCCGGACAAGCGACAACCUCGCCUCCUGCGCGCGCUUCUCCUGAAUCGAGGUGCGCCUCCGCGCCCUGCCGUCGACGCCGGCGCCUCCUCAGUGCGGUGCUCUUCUCCCCGGCCACGAUCCGGCCCUGGCCACCACGACCACUCCUGCUGCUCACAAAUAGUUGCGCCCCCACCACCACCUCCCCGCGGUACGGACGCGCCACCACCUGCCAACCAGAGUUGACCAGGCGGAGUCCCGACGAUGUGGCCGCCGAUGUUGCGGCACGGCAGCAAACGCGCGCGAUGGCGAGGAGACGAGGAUAGGAUACGGCGGCGCCGACGAGCUUGGGACGGCGGUGCCGCGAUGGGGAGCUGGGGGCAUGAAGCGGAUGGGAGACGGUGGGAUGGGAAUGGAGAGCGAUGGGACAGAGAAGGGGAUGAGUGGUGCGAGCAUCUAGUUCGUUCGGGACGAUUUCUGUUUUCUCCUAAUGAUAUCGAUCGCUGACGUGGCUCUGGUCCCCUGCUUUAAGAUGCGUAAUCAAAUCCAGGAGUGGAAAGGAC